rnacentral:rRNA from 1 species
GACGAACGCUGGCGGCGUGCCUAAUACAUGCAAGUCGAACGCUUCUUUCCUCCCGAGUGCUUGCACUCAAUUGGAAAGAGGAGUGGCGGACGGGUGAGUAACACGUGGGUAACCUACCCAUCAGAGGGGGAUAACACUUGGAAACAGGUGCUAAUACCGCAUAACAGUUUAUGCCGCAUGGCAUAAGAGUGAAAGGCGCUUUCGGGUGUCGCUGAUGGAUGGACCCGCGGUGCAUUAGCUAGUUGGUGAGGUAACGGCUCACCAAGGCCACGAUGCAUAGCCGACGUGAUAGGGUGAUCGGCCACACUGGGACGGAGACACGGCCCAGACUCCUACGGGAGGCAGCAGUAGGGAAUCUUCGGCAAAGGACGAAAGUCUGACCGAGCAACGCCGCGUGAGUGAAGAAGGUUUUCGGAUCGUAAAACUCUGUUGUUAGAGAAGAACAAGGACGUUAGUAACUGAACGUCCCCUGACGGUAUCUAACCAGAAAGCCACGGCUAACUACGUG